rnacentral:rRNA from 1 species
GCAUAUCAAUAAGCGGAGGAAAAGAAACCAACCGGGAUUGCCUCAGUAACGGCGAGUGAAGCGGCAAAAGCUCAAAUUUGAAAGCUGGCCCCUCCGGGGUCCGCAUUGUAAUUUGCAGAGGAUGCUUCGGGUGCGGCCCCUAUCUAAGUGCCCUGGAAUGGGCCGUCGGAGAGGGUGAGAAUCCCGUCUGGGAUGGGGUGUCCGCGUCCAUGUGAAGCUCCUUCGACGAGUCGAGUUGUUUGGGAAUGCAGCUCUAAAUGGGUGGUAAAUUUCAUCUAAAGCUAAAUACUGGCCGGAGACCGAUAGCGCACAAGUAGAGUGAUCGAAAGAUGAAAAGCACUUUGAAAAGAGAGUUAAACAGCACGUGAAAUUGUUGAAAGGGAAGCGCUUGCGACCAGACUCGCCUGCGGGGUUCAGCCGGCAUUCGUGCCGGUGUACUUCCCCGUGGGCGGGCCAGCGUCGGUUUGGGCGGCCGGUCAAAGGCCUCCGGAAUGUAGUGCCCUUCGGGGCACCUUAUAGCCGGGGGUGCAAUGCGGCCAGCCUGGACCGAGGAACGCGCUUCGGCUCGGACGCUGGCAUAAUGGUCGUAAACGACCCGUCUUGAAACACGGACCAAGGAGUCUAACAUCUACGCGAGUGUUCGGGUGUCAAACCCGUACGCGCAGUGAAAGCGAACGGAGGUGGGAGCCCCUUUAGGGGCGCACCAUCGACCGAUCCUGAAGUCUUCGGAUGGAUUUGAGUAGGAGCGUAGCUGUGGGGACCCGAAAGAUGGUGAACUAUGCCUGAAUAGGGCGAAGCCAGAGGAAACUCUGGUGGAGGCUCGCAGCGGUUCUGACGUGCAAAUCGAUCGUCAAAUUUGGGUAUAGGGGCGAAAGACUAAUCGAACCAUCUGGUAGCUGGUUCCUGUCG